AACAUUUAUUCCAUGGGACAAAACUAGGUCCAGAGUAUGACUGUGGCAGUGAGUAGGUCCAGAGACAUGUUGGACAAAACCCACUGAGUCGAUGAUGGCUCCGAAAGCCUUUUGGAGUGGGUCUGUGGACUUUUCCAUGUGAAUGUUAAAGUCACCAAAAAUUAGAAUAUUAUCUGCUAUGACUACAAGAUCCGAUAGGAAUUCAGGGAACUCAGUGAGGAACACUGCAUAUGGCCCAGGAGGCCUAUAAACAGUAGCUAUAAAAAGUGAGUGAGUAGGCUGCAUAGAUUUCAUGACUAGAAGCUCAAAAGACGAAAACGUCAUUGUUGUUUUUUUUUUUUGUAAAUUGAAAUUUGCUAUCGUAAAUGUUAGCAACACCUCCGCCUUUGCCGGAUGCACGGGGGAUAUGGUCACUAGUGUAACCAGGAGGAGAGGCCUCAUUUAACACAGUAAAUUCAUCAGGCUUAAGCCAUGUUUCAGUCAGGCCAAUCACAUCAAGAUUAUGAUCAGUGAUUAGUUCAUUGACUAUAACUGCCUUGGAAGUGAGGGAUCUAACAUUAAGUAACCCAAUUUUGAGAUGUGAGGUAUCACAAUCUCUUUCAAUAAUGGCAGGAAUGGAGGAGGUCUUUAUACUAGUGAGAUUGCUAAAGCGAACACCGCCAUUUUUAAUUUUGCCCAACCUAGAUCGAGGCACAGACACGGUCUCAAUGGGGGAAGCUGAGCUGACUACACUGACUGUGCUAGUGGCAGACUCCACUAAGCUGGCAGGCUGGCUAACAGCCUGCUGCCUGGCCUGCACCCUAUUUCAUUGUGGAGCUAGAGGAGUUAGAGCCCUGUCUAUGUUCGUAGAUAAGAUGAGAGCACCCCUCCAGCUAGGAUGGAGUCCGUCACUCCUCAACAGGCCAGGCUUGGUCCUGUUUGUGGGUGAGUCCCAGAAAGAGGGCCAAUUAUCUACAAAUUCUAUCUUUUGGGAGGGGCAGAAAACAGUUUUCAACCAGCGAUUGAGUUGUGAGACUCUGCUGUAGAGCUCAUCACUCCCCCUAACUGGGAGGGGGCCAGAGACAAUUAAUCGAUGCCGACAUCUUUCUAGCUGAUUUAGACAAAGAUCUAACAGUCAUGUCUGUAGUAUUGACCAAAAUGUCCGUUGGUUUGUAACUAUUUAAUAUUUCUUACAUGGGGGUUUGCUAUAUUGUGAACAUGUAUUAAUCAAAACUCUCACUGUGCAGUACACAUCAUAUAAUUGACCAUCAACCAUAGGAUAAAUAACAGGGCCAUAUAAGAAGAAAAUGAAAGCUCUUACAAUAUUCAAUGAUUUCAUUUCUCUAAAACUGGCUAUAGGCUACCGUGUGCACGUGCACCACCAAGUCAGAACAGUAGGUGAAAAAAUACCAAAUCAUUAGCGUGAGGCACACGGGCUACCAACAGCUUACUACACAACAUACACUUAGUAUUACUUUCUUAGCUACAGUAUACAUAUCUCCCUGGCAUAUUACAUCAUUUAUGAAGCUGCAUACUAGAGAUUUUUAGACUCACAUUG
rnacentral:lncRNA from 1 species